UGUUCCGUAGUAUAGUGGUCAGUACAAUUUCACAGAUGAUUCCGCUCGGGACCCGGGUUCAAUUCCCGGCGGGAGAG